rnacentral:rRNA from 1 species
UACGAAGGGGGCGAGCGUUGUUCGGAAUCACUGGGCGUAAAGGGCGCGUAGGCGGCCCUCCUUGUCGCGUGUGAAAGCCCCGGGCUCAACCUGGGAACGGCGCGCGAGACGGGGGGGCUGGAGUUCGGGAGAGGAGCGUGGAAUUCCCAGUGUAGAGGUGAAAUUCGUAGAUAUCGGGAGGAACACCAGCGGCGAAGGCGGCUUCCUGGUCCAUUACUGACGUUCAGGCACGAAAGCGUGGGGAGCGAACAGG